GUGCCAGCAGCCGCGGUAAUACGAGGGGGGCAAAUGUUGUUCGGAAUCACUGGGCGUAAAGGGAGCGUAGGCGGGCUUCUAAGUUAGGUGUUUAAUCCCGGGGCCCAACCCCGGUCGUGCACCUAAAACUGGGAGUCUUGAAUAGUGGAGAGGUCAGUGGAAUUGGGGGUGUAGCGGUGGAAUGCGUAGAGAUCCCCAAGAACACCAGUUGCGAAGGCGGCUGACUGGACACAUAUUGACGCUGAGGCUCGAAAGCAUGGGGAGCAAACAGGAUUAGAAACCCUCGUAGUCC
rnacentral:rRNA from 1 species